rnacentral:rRNA from 1 species
CCUACGGGGGGCUGCAGUGGGGAAUAUUGGACAAUGGGGGGAACCCUGAUCCAGCCAUGCCGCGUGUGUGAAGAAGGCCCUCGGGUUGUAAAGCACUUUCAGUGAGGAAGAACGCCUGGUGGUUAAUACCCAUCAGGAAAGACAUCACUCACAGAAGAAGCACCGGCUAACUCCGUGCCAGCAGCCGCGGUAAUACGGAGGGUGCGAGCGUUAAUCGGAAUUACUGGGCGUAAAGCGCGCGUAGGUGGCUUGAUAAGCCGGUUGUGAAAGCCCCGGGCUCAACCUGGGAGCGGCAUCCGGAACUGUCAAGCUAGAGUGCAGGAGAGGAAGGUAGAAUUCCCGGUGUAGCGGUGAAAUGCGUAGAGAUCGGGAGGAAUACCAGUGGCGAAGGCGGCCUUCUGGACUGACACUGACACUGAGGUGCGAAAGCGUGGGUAGCAAACAGGAUUAGAUACCCUGGUAGUC